UGCUCGCUAAAAUGGCAUCACUUAAACAAGACUCGAAGAGGAAAAAGUUGUCUGGACUUUCGGUUCAUACGUUUACGUCACAGUACGAGAAUUCCAAGCGUCCAUUACGAAGGCGGUGCUUUGCUGCAUUGUUUGUUGCUAUAAACUGUAAAUCAACCUUACAUAUAGCUAAAUUUAUUUAUCAUCUAUUGGAAUUUGGAGGGUAAAUUCAUUGUGUGAAGAUGGUACGACGUACUACCAAAAUAUACGUUGGUAACUUGCCUGAAAAUGCUCAUAAUGGAGAACUUCAGGAAUUGUUUGAAAAGUAUGGAGAGGUCAAAGAAUGUGACAUUGUGAAGAAUUAUGCAUUUGUGCAUAUGUCAUCUGAAGAAGAAGCAAAGACUGCAAUAGAAGCACUAAACAAUAUAGAUUUCAUGGGAUCUAAAAUAUCAGUAGAGAUAUCUCACAGUAAAGUUCGCCAGCGACCUGGUAUGGGAGGUAAAGGACAGUGUUACCGUUGCGGCCGUCAAGGUCAUUGGUCCAAAGAAUGUCCCCGCAAUCCAGCAACUAGAAUGAACAAUGGUCCUCCUAUAGGAUAUCCUACAGGUGGUUAUGGUGGUGAUAGAUUCUCUAGAUUUGGAAUGGAUAGACCUUAUGGUGCUGACAGAUCUUUUGGAGAACAGCGAGGUUUUGUUGACCGCAUGAGACCAUACCCUGAUCCAUAUGAACGAAGACCUCCCAUGCCUUCUCCUCAGCAAGAAAACUACAUGUAUUAUAGAAGGCCUUAUGAUUCUUAUGGUUAUUCUAGACGAUCACCUCCUAAUGUCCCACAAGUACCAAGUCGGUACGACUUUACACAAGACCCGUAUCCAUUUUGAUUGCAAUAUUCAAGUUAAAAUUAAAUCUUGUAUUACUAAUUCAAUGAAGAGAGUUAUGUGUAACCUGCAGAAUUUUUCACAGUGACUGCAUGAAGUGAAGGAGGUAUGACUCAGAAUACCACAAUGAAUACCUGAAUGAACCUGGAUAUGUGUGAAGGUCAGAAAAGCUCAAGUGUGAUUGUAGCUCUUUGAAUUCUGGUUUUAUGUUAAAGAUGGCUAAUGUUCUUACACAUCUGAACUGCCCUCACGAAGAAAUUUUGUAUAUUUGAAAUUUUUUUUUUAAAAAUAAAAUUAGUCAUUUAA
rnacentral:misc_RNA from 1 species